rnacentral:rRNA from 1 species
UACGAAGGGGGCUAGCGUUGUUCGGAGUUACUGGGCGCAAAGGGCGCGUAGGCGGCGCACCAAGUCAGGCGUGAAAGCCCUGGGCUCAACCCGGGAAUUGCGCUUGAGACUGGUGUGCUUGAGUACGGGAGAGGAUAGUGGAAUUCCCAGUGUAGAGGUGAAAUUCGUAGAUAUUCGGAAGAACACCAGUGGCGAAGGCGACUUACUGGACACAUAUUGACGCUGAGGUGCGAAAGCGUGGGGAGCGAUCCGG